AAUAUUGGAAAAUGGGGGCAACCCUGAUCCAGCCAUGCCGCGUGUGUGAAGAAGGUAUUCGGAUUGUAAAGCACUUUAAGUUGAGAGGAAGGGCUGUAGGUUAUUCCCCUGAAGUUUCGACGUUACCAACAGAGUAAUCACCGGCUAACUCUGUGCCAGCAGCCGCGGUAAUACAGAGGGUGCAAGCGUUAAUCGGAAUUACUGGGCGUAAAGCGCGCGUAGGUGGUUCAGUAAGAUGGGUGUGAAAUCCCCGGGCUUAACCUGGGAACUGCUUUCAUAACUGCUGAGCUAGAGUACGGUAGAGGGUAGUGGAAUUUCCUGUGUAGCGGUGAAAUGCGUAGAUAUAGGAAGGAACACCAGUGGCGAAGGCGACUACCUGGACUGAUACUGACACUGAGGUGCGAAAGCGUGGGGAGCAAAC
rnacentral:rRNA from 1 species